UACGUAGGGGGCAAGCGUUGUCCGGAAUCAUUGGGCGUAAAGAGCGUGUAGGCGGCCAGGUAGGUCGGUUGUGAAAACUGGAGGCUCAACCUUCAGAGGUCGACCGAAACCAUCUGGCUAGAGUCCGGGAGAGGAGAGUGGAAUUCCUGGUGGUAGCGGUGAAAUGCGCAGAUAUCAGGAAGAACACCUGUGGCGAAGGCGGCCCCCUGGGCCGGCCCUGACACUGAGACGCGAAGGCGUGGGGAGCGAACGGG
rnacentral:rRNA from 1 species